UGACAUUUCAGUGUAGUGCCAUUUAAGUUUCCCUGGCUAAAAUAAUUUAAUUUGGUAAUAUUUGUUAAUACGAUUAUUAAUAAGUUAUAUUUUUAUAUUUGACUUGUAUAGCAAGUUAUAUAGUUAUAUUUGUUUGAACAAAUAAGGAUAUUGUUAAUAACAUGCUGAAAUGGUGAGUUUUCUGGCUAUGGUUUUACAGGAUGUUUAAGAAGGGGAAAGAAAUAAUAGGUAGCUUGGUUAAUUUCAUUAACAUGCAUAGUUCAUGGGGAAAUUGUUCAGAGAAAGCAUUCAAACACAACCGAACAUCUGAUGCUUUUUACUGUCUCAUGCUUUUCUGUGUUCCAGGGUCUGAUGUCAUGAUAUGGCGCUUUUCCAAUGUAGGGUACAACUUGGCUCGGCACGAUGCAGCUCAGCUCGCUUUCGUUGCUUUUCCAGUACAGUUUAGUAUCGCUUCAGAGUGGGUGAGAUUAUAGGCAGGGGUGCACAUAAGGGUGUGUAUGCGCGAUUAGAAACAAUUCCAGCGUACCAACGUCGCUGGAAUUUUGUUACAUAGUUAGCUAAUUUACUGCGACAUCUCGAUCACUCCCCAGUGACUGGUCCCAGUAUAGGUCAUAAACCCCGCCUCCCCCAUGUUAUUCAAUGGGACUUGAGACCUGUUAGAUACAAAAUAAACUUCAGUAUGUAAAACGUUUUCUCUUUAUUUAUCCACCGAUAACAUCCGCUCCAACACGAGCACUAAAACAACAACCGGCUUUCCGCCCGGGCUUCAUAAUAAGAGUCACCUUUUAGCUUCCGUAAAAGGUCAUGUGAAAUAAUAAACAAUAUUUAGCAUAAAGCUAUAAUAUACAUAAACACAUUUUUAAUGUCUUAAACUUAACAAGACCAACUAAACAAUUAAAUUACACUUCAAUUAUCUUUUUUCCGAAGCUUGUUUUUGUCAUUUACUGUAGGUUUUAUCAUGCUGAUGUAAAUUCAAGUGUUUGUUUUUAAAAUAAGUUUGUUUUUAGUUAGUUAGUUAAUGCUAUAAAAACGGUGGUGUCACGUCAUGAUUGACAGCUGUGUAUGCACAUUCUGGGAGAGUGAGGGCGGGGCCUUGAUUUCGCGGCUUUACUUCCUGCUCACUACUGCACAGGACUGGUCCCGAAAUUGCUACUGCGCAGACUCAAAACCCAAGAUGUCAGCGGCGACACUGGCGGCUUCACUUUUCACCAAUGGAAGAGAGCAAGCUCUCCAGGUGCUCCUUUUAGAACCAGGACAAAAAAAAGUUAUGUGCACCCCUGAUUAUAGGCUUAUUGUUACAGUUGCGUCCCCUCUACUGCCGUAACAUCAUCGUAAAUGCGAUACAAACACACACACACACAACAUGGAGCAACAGAGCAUAUUAAUGGAAUGUAGCCACAAAAUCAAAAUUGACAGCCACAACUACAUUUUCCACUACCUCUCUCACAUGACAGGUUCUGUACAAACACCCAUGUCAUCAGUACCUGCACUAUGCGGACAGAACAUUUAAGCCAUGACGCCUAUAUUUUUGGUGCGUUUUGGAUGCGGAGCCAUGCGCAAAGUUACAAAAAUGCCAUGCAGACAUAGGCAUGGUGGUGUGCUCUGCAUUUUUGUAACUUUACACAUGACUUCACAUCCGAAACCCAUUACUCCUCACCCAAAAGUGAGCUGUGCUGAACUGGGUCAUACUAUGCAGUGGAAAGGCGCCAAAAGUGUCCUACUUCGUGGCUUGAAGGAUUUAGCAGUUUCAGCGUUGGACUUGUAAUUCUGCGUGUUUGGCCUCUUUAGCACUUGCUGUUUGAAAGUCAUUGCUUGCAACAGAUUGAGCGACUGUCAUUCUGCAUUUCUGUUUGCAUUGGUUUGCUUGCAUUUUGAAUCCUUCGCAAUAAUAACUUCGCAAAAAGUUUUACAUUUGAACUGUAGUUGUAGAUUCAAGUUUGUUUUUCCUUGAUAUAAUGUAUUUAUAUAGAUUUUUACAAUUAUUUAUCAUGCAGUGCUUCAUAUAUGAGAAAGACAACGCUUGAAGAACCACACAACACUCAUAUUAAUGUAUGUGUCAUAUUAAUAAAAAUAAACAAGUCUUUGCACUUCA